AAAGUACUCCCUCCGUCCCAAAAUUCUUGUCUUAGAUUUGUCUAGAUACAGAUGUAUCAAGUCACAUUUUAGUAUUAGAUACAUACGUAUCUAGACAAAUCUAAGACAAGAAAUUUGGGAUAGAGGGAGUAGUUG
rnacentral:pre_miRNA from 1 species